rnacentral:rRNA from 1 species
GGGUUGUGAGGUUAAGCGACUAAGCGUACACGGUGGAUGCCUAGGCAAUCAGAGGCGAUGAAGGACGUGCUAAUCUGCGAUAAGCGUCGGUAAGGUGAUAUGAACCGUUACAACCGACGAUUUCCGAAUGGGGAAACCCAGUGCAAUUCGUUGCACUAUCGUUUGAUGAAUAUAUAGUCAAACGAAGCGAACCGGGGGAACUGAAACAUCUCAGUACCCCGAGGAAAAGAAAUCAACCGAGAUUCCCCUAGUAGCGGCGAGCGAACGGGGAGCAGCCCAGAGUCUUAAUCAGCAUUAGCAUCAGGAGAACGGUCUGGAAAGUCCGGCAGUAAAGGGUGAUAGCCCCGUAUCCGAAGGUGUUAGUGUUGUGAACUCGACGAGUAGGGCGGGACACGUGUUAUCCUGUCUGAAUAUGGGGGGACCAUCCUCCAAGGCUAAAUACUCCUGAUUGACCGAUAGUGAACCAGUACCGUGAGGGAAAGGCGAAAAGAACCCCGGCGAGGGGAGUGAAAUAGAACCUGAAACCGUGUACGUACAAGCAGUGGGAGCCCCAUCACUCAAGUGCCUCGGCAAUUGAGUGAGGGUGUAAAACCAUCACAAUAACAGCGCAGGAUUUGCCAACAAGAUUGGCUGAUUUUUUCAAGCCGCAGCGCAGUGGACAUCGAAGUCCAUGAGCAGCGGAAGUUAAAAAAUCGGGCAAGAUUGGCCGCAAAGACAAGCGGGACAUUUGAGGAUGGGGUGACUGCGUACCUUUUGUAUAAUGGGUCAGCGACUUAUAUUCUGUAGCAAGGUUAACCGUAUAGGGGAGCCGUAGGGAAACCGAGUCUUAACUGGGCGAAUAAGUUGCAGGGUAUAGACCCGAAACCCGGUGAUCUAGCCAUGGGCAGGUUGAAGGUUGGGUAACACUAACUGGAGGACCGAACCGACUAAUGUUGAAAAAUUAGCGGAUGACUUGUGGCUGGGGGUGAAAGGCCAAUCAAACCGGGAGAUAGCUGGUUCUCCCCGAAAGCUAUUUAGGUAGCGCCUCGUGAACUCAUCUUCGGGGGUAGAGCACUGUUUCGACUAGGGGGUCAUCCCGACUUACCAACUCGAUGCAAACUACGAAUACCGAAGAAUGUUAUCACGGGAGACACACGGCGGGUGCUAACGUUCGUCGUGAAGAGGGAAACAACCCAGACCGCCAGCUAAGGUCCCAAAGUCAUAGUUAAGUGGGAAACGAAGUGGGAAGGCUCAGACAGCCAGGAUGUUGGCUUAGAAGCAGCCAUCAUUUAAAGAAAGCGUAAUAGCUCACUGGUCGAGUCGGCCUGCGCGGAAGAUGUAACGGGGCUAAACUAUGCACCGAAGCUGCGGCAGCGAUAUUUAGAUAUUGUUGGGUAGGGGAGCGUUCUGUAAGCCUGUGAAGGUGUACUGUGAGGUAUGCUGGAGGUAUCAGAAGUGCGAAUGCUGACAUAAGUAACGAUAAUGCGGGUGAAAAACCCGCACGCCGGAAGACCAAGGGUUCCUGUCCAACGUUAAUCGGGGCAGGGUGAGUCGACCCCUAAGGCGAGGCAGAAAUGCGUAGUCGAUGGGAAACGGGUUAAUAUUCCCGUACUGGUGAUAAUUGCGAUGGGGGGACGGAGAAGGCUAGGCUAUCCGGGCGACGGUUGUCCCGGUUUAAGAAUGUAGGCAGGUGAAUUAGGCAAAUCCGGUUCACUAUAUGCUGAGGUUCGAUGACGAGUCACUACGGUGAUGAAGUAGCUCAUGCCCCGCUUCCAGGAAAAGCCUCUAAGCUCUAGAUUAUCAUUAAUCGUACCCCAAACCGACACAGGUGGUCAGGUAGAGAAUACUCAGGCGCUUGAGAGAACUCGGGUGAAGGAACUAGGCAAAAUGGUGCCGUAACUUCGGGAGAAGGCACGCUGGCGCUAGGUGAAAUCCCUCGCGGAUGGAGCUGAAGCCAGUCGCAGAUACCAGCUGGCUGCAACUGUUUAUUAAAAACACAGCACUGUGCAAACACGAAAGUGGACGUAUACGGUGUGACGCCUGCCCGGUGCUGGAAGGUUAAUUGAUGGGGUUAUCCGUAAGGAGAAGCUCUUGAUCGAAGCCCCAGUAAACGGCGGCCGUAACUAUAACGGUCCUAAGGUAGCGAAAUUCCUUGUCGGGUAAGUUCCGACCUGCACGAAUGGCGUAAUGAUGGCCAGGCUGUCUCCACCCGAGACUCAGUGAAAUUGAACUCGCUGUGAAGAUGCAGUGUACCCGCGGCAAGACGGAAAGACCCCGUGAACCUUUACUAUAGCUUGACACUGAACAUUGAGCCUUGAUGUGUAGGAUAGGUGGGAGGCUUCGAAGCGUGGACGCCAGUCUGCGUGGAGCCAACCUUGAAAUACCACCCUUUAAUGUUUGAUGUUCUAACGUUGCCCCAUUAUCUGGGGUGCGGACAGUGUCUGGUGGGUAGUUUGACUGGGGCGGUCUCCUCCCAAAGAGUAACGGAGGAGCACGAAGGUUGGCUAAGCAUGGUCGGACAUCAUGCGGUUAGUGCAAAGGCAUAAGCCAGCUUGACUGCGAGAGUGACGGCUCGAGCAGGUACGAAAGUAGGUCUUAGUGAUCCGGUGGUUCUGAAUGGAAGGGCCAUCGCUCAACGGAUAAAAGGUACUCCGGGGAUAACAGGCUGAUACCGCCCAAGAGUUCAUAUCGACGGCGGUGUUUGGCACCUCGAUGUCGGCUCAUCACAUCCUGGGGCUGAAGUAGGUCCCAAGGGUACGGCUGUUCGCCGUUUAAAGUGGUACGCGAGCUGGGUUUAGAACGUCGUGAGACAGUUCGGUCCCUAUCUGCCGUGGGCGUUGGAAGAUUGAAAGGGGCUGCUCCUAGUACGAGAGGACCGGAGUGGACGCACCACUGGUGUUCGGGUUGUCAUGCCAAUGGCAUUGCCCGGUAGCUAAGUGCGGAAGAGAUAACCGCUGAAAGCAUCUAAGCGGGAAACUUGCCUUGAGAUGAGUCUUCCCUGACCCUUUAAGGGUCCUAAAGGAACGUUUAAGACUAAGACGUUGAUAGGUUGGGUGUGUAAGCAUAGCGAUAUGUUGAGCUAACCAAUACUAAUGAACCGUGAGGCUUAACCUGACAACACCGAAGGUGUUUUAG